rnacentral:sRNA from 1 species
GCUGGGCAAGGUGGCACAUGCCUGUAAUCCCAGGGACUCUGGAGGCUGAGGCAGGAGGAUAUCAAGUUCAAAACCAGUCUGAGCAGUUUAGCAAGGCCCUAGGCAACUUAGUGACAUCUUGUCUCUA